rnacentral:rRNA from 1 species
UUCCUACGGGGGGCAGCAGUGAGGAAUAUUGGUCAAUGGACGCAAGUCUGAACCAGCCAUGCCGCGUGCAGGAUGACGGCUCUAUGAGUUGUAAACCUCUUUUGUCAGGGAGCAAGGUGCAGGUCGGGACCUGCUGUGAGAGUACCUGAAGAAAAAGCAUCGGCUAACUCCGUGCCAGCAGCCGCGGUAAUACGGAGGAUGCGAGCGUUAUCCGGAUUUAUUGGGUUUAAAGGGUGCGCAGGCGGAGGCACAAGUCAGCGGUAAAAUCGCGGGGCUCAACCCCGCUCCGCCGUUGAAACUGUGUC